rnacentral:lncRNA from 1 species
AAAUUCAACAACAACAGCGGCAGCAGCAGCAGCAGCAGCAGCAGCAGCAGCAGCACCCAUACUUUUAGCCACUGAUGUUCGAUAAGGUUUCAGAUCUCAUGGCGGAUGUUCCCUGUUUUGAAGAUCAGUGUCACGGGACUGGACCCUAAUGCUAUGUACUCCCUUCUGUUGGACUUCGUCCCGACCGACAGUCACCGCUGGAAGUAUGUCAACGGGGAAUGGGUACCCGCGGGCAAGCCAGAGGUCUCCAGCCACAGCUGUGUCUACAUUCACCCUGACUCCCCCAACUUUGGGGCUCACUGGAUGAAAGCUCCCAUCUCCUUCAGCAAAGUGAAGCUGACCAACAAGCUUAGUGGA